rnacentral:lncRNA from 1 species
UCCAAACGGGCGGCUCGACCUGGCCUGGAACGGGCCCGGGUUAGCUCGGCCACACCACAUCGUGCCGGGCCAUGCCCACCAACGGGCUGCCCCAACAGCCUAGGCAUGGGCCCACGAGCCCAUUUCGUGUCGGGCUAGCUCGGCGAAACCCGGGCUAGCCCAGGCACGGUGGAGAAGUCGAUGUCGUGUCGUCGCCGCUCGUCGGGAUCUGUGGAGGAGAGGAGAAGGGAGCGUAGGCGGCCGCACCGGCCUCCGCCGCGGGGCAGGGCAGCGGACGCUCCGGUCUCUGCCGCUUGCCCAGUCGCUGCCCCAAGGCGCCAUCGCCGCCACCUACCAGCUCAACGAGCUGAGCUCGCG